ensembl:lincRNA
CUCAGGAAGUGACAUAGCAGGGAGACUCAUAAGGGCAAGAAGGAAGUGGGCCACCUUCUCUCUUCCUCCUGGUCUCUGAUCUGGGGUUGCCAUGUGAUCCACUGGCAAGAGAGGGCACCAGCAGAAGGCAUCAUCUAUAAGAGGCCUUUAAAAACUGAACCAGAAAUUUGGCCCCCAUGUUCUCUGUUUUCCCUUGGCUCAACCACCAAGAGUUCUCACGGACAUCACACGUAUCUUUUAACAGAAUCUGAGAUAGUAGUUGCCAAUAUAGGCUAGAUUUGCCUCCAAGUAUUGGGACUUCUUUUGGAGUGAUAAGAAAAUAAGGAAGGAUGCAAAUUCAUGUUCUGACAGCUCAUUCAAUGAAUCUGCAGGCAAUGAGACAUUCUGGUGUGGUUUACUAUUCAAUACAAGGAAUUCUGUUAUUUUCUAGAGUUUCAUCAACACAAGUGUUACAAGCAUACUGUUGUUUUCAUUCUACUGUUGAUUUUAGAUUUCUACAUUUCAGAUUGACUUCAAGGCUCUUGGAAGAUUGGAAAAGGACAAAAAGACCCAGUAACAUGUUUGGACUUGAAAAUCAGAACAAGCAGGCAAUCUGUAGAGCUAUCUUGGAAAUAAGCUAUGAAAAGAUAACAUCCCCACCUUGUGAUCUUGGCAGAACCCUUCCUACACUGAAUAAACUCAUGGAGAACAGAAGAAGGAAAGAAACACAGGUCUACAUAGUUUAAAAUCCUAACUUUGAAACAAAUUGAAGAUCACUGUAAGAACCAGCCUUUGGGUACAAUGAGGUGCUGUGACAAUGGUAAGAAGCUGUCUUCUCAAAUUCCCAAAGGGCCCCAUAAGCUAUUGGUAACCAUAGGCAAUCAAGCAAUGAGGUAUCAAUGGUUUCUAGUAGACCAGAAGCAGAGUUGACACUAAGUUUGUGUAUGAAUGACAUCCCUGUCUAAGUGGCAAGAAGCAUAAAAUGAAGAAGAAAGUCAUCCCUCAGAGUUUCUUUGUGAACCAUCUUGCAAAUACCUAUAACCAUGAGCAUGGUGUCAAUUCCUUUGAAGACUUCACCAUGCUGCUAUAAUCAUCACCUGAAAGAAUGGAAUAACUACCAAAUAGAGUCCCCUACUGCAAAAUCUAUGUUCUCUUUGGCAUUCAGUUACUCAUACAGCAUUAUGGGCCCUAAUGAGAAAUUCUGGGAUUUUCAUAUUGAUUUUAAAAACCAAACCAGCUCAAGGCCAUGGCAUGUGUUUUGCCAGCACAGAAAAAAUGUAUUAAUACUUUUUCAUAAUUAAACUGUCAUUGAAGCCAUACCUCAUAGCAGAAAAUCUAUCUUGCUUCCCCUUGAAUAGAUAGAUACAAGCUGUCAUUUCUCAUGACUUCACCAAGAGACCAAUUACUGAACUCGGGCCUCUGCACAAGCAAUAAGUAAAGACUGAGGUGAAGGGGUAUAAGCUUCUCAUCUGAGCACUGAUGACAUCCUUUAGCACUGAGGGAGUCCCUUAGAAAAAGUUUUCAGGAAAAGUUUAUCUAAUCUUUGUGGACUGAGAAAAUAAUUGAAUAGAGAUACAUAAAAAAGAUUGUACUCAUCAUCUUUCUGUCACUAUAGCAAAUGCCUGUGAUAAUCAACUUAGAAAUAACAAGGAUUUAUUUCAUCUUAAGGUACCAGAAAUGCAUGACCCUACUGUUUUGAAAUCAUUGGCAAGGCAUUUGAUCUUGGUAGGUAUACUACAAUGGAGCACAUCUGUUUGCCUCAUGGCCCAAAGAGCAAAGAGUAAAAUUGAGGAAUAGAAAGGGGCUAAAGCCUAGUAUUCUUUCAAAAAUAUGAUGUAAGUGACUAAAUAAACCACCUCCACUGGGUCCUGCAUCUUGAAGCUGCCCCACCUCCCAGUAAGACUAUGGCUGAUGAACAAGUAUUAUGGUUUGAUUAUGAACUGUCUCCACAGGCUAAUGUGUUUGAACACUGUUUGGAGAUGUUAUAGAUCUUUGAAACAUUGGGCCCAGCUAGUGGCAGUCACUAGAAGCAGGAUUUCUAGGUGAAGCCUGCCUCUGAUUACAUUCCAUUUCUCUGUCUUCCUCCUGGUCCACUGACUUUCAAGGAGCUAUAGCACACACUCUCUCAAGCAAAAAUGAAGAGAUUUCUGACUCAAUAAUGGGAAGAAAUGCCCCAGAAACCAAGAACCAGAGAAGAUAUUUCCUUCCCAUGAACCUUUAAUAUGGGCUUUUAGGGUGCAUAUCCAAGCCAAUGCAGAGACUUUAGAAGAUUAUUAAAGAAAAAACACAAAACUAACAAUAAUAAAAACAAUAAUAAAUAUUGGCAAGCCAGCAGAAUGCAAUCUCCAAAGGUUCUAUAUUAUAAUAUAUAUUUUCUUUUAAAAAUCUUUUUCAGCUGAGUGGUAGUGGUGCAUGUCUUUAAUCUCAUCACUUGGGAAGCAGAGGCGGGAAGAACUCUGUGAGUUCGAGAACAUCCUGGUCUGCAGAGCAAGUUCCAAGACAGGCUCCAAAGCUACACAAAGAAACUCUGUCUCUAAAAACCAAACAGCAUCUUUUUCAUACAAUAUAUAUAUUUUAUCAUGCUCCUCCCCCUUCUCCAACCUCCCAGAUUCCUCUGCCUUCCCUAUCCAUUCCUUCUUUGUCUCUCUCUCUCUCUUUCUCCCUCACUCUCCCUCUGUUUCCUGUGUAGAUAAAAUGUGAUCAGCUAGCUAUCUGCUCUUAUGCUAUGGCCUUCCUGCCUGGUGCCAUGCAUUACCCGUCCUAAUGGAUUCUAGCCCUCUGGAACUGUAAGACAAAGCAAACCCAUUUUACUUUUUGCUCAUGUAUUCUGUCACAACAAAAUAAAAGUAACCAAAAACACUAACGUGUCAUUGUAAGAAACUGAGGGGGGG